CUGGGGCUGGAGCUCUGCUCCCCACAGCAGCCAGCUAGAGAUUCCUCGUAGCCAGGGACCUCCUUGUGGAAACUUCUUUCUGCACCACCGCCAGUUGCAUUGCCUGUGGAGAGCAGCGUGCCUGUGCACUCAGUUCCAGGGAUGAAGGCUUUUUAGAAAGCGAGAGUCAGACAACAGGCUGUGUCAGCGACACUCAAAUGCCUGCCACCGCCACACACAGUAUGUGAGGUCAGCACUUGACCG